CACCACUCAAGCCUCGCUUGGUAUUGGGCAACGCGGUCCGCCGCGUGCCUCAAAUCGACCGGCUGGGUCUUCUGUCCCCUAAGCGUUGUGGAAACUAUUCGCUAAAGGGUGUUCGGGAGGCUACGCCGUAAAACAACCCCAUUUCUAAGGUUGACCUCGGAUCAGGUAGGGAUACCCGCUGAACUUAAGCAUAUCAAUAAGCGGAGGAAAAGAAACCAACAGGGAUUGCUCUAGUAACGGCGAGUGAAGCAGCAAUAGCUCAAAUUUGAAAUCUGGCGUCUUCGACGUCCGAGUUGUAAUUUGUAGAGGAUGCUUCUGAGUAACCACCGACCUAAGUUCCUUGGAACAGGACGUCAUAGAGGGUGAGAAUCCCGUAUGCGGUCGGAAAGGUGCUCUAUACGUAGCUCCUUCGACGAGUCGAGUUGUUUGGGAAUGCAGCUCUAAAUGGGAGGUAAAUUUCUUCUAAAGCUAAAUAUUGGCCAGAGACCGAUAGCGCACAAGUAGAGUGAUCGAAAGAUGAAAAGCACUUUGGAAAGAGAGUUAAAAAGCACGUGAAAUUGUUAAAAGGGAAGGGAUUGCAACCAGACUUGCUCGCGGUGUUCCGCCGGUCUUCUGACCGGUCUACUCGCCGCGUUGCAGGCCAGCAUCGUCUGGUGCCGCUGGAUAAGACUUGAGGAAUGUAGCUCCCUCGGGAGUGUUAUAGCCUCUUGUGAUGCAGCGAGCGCCGGGCGAGGUCCGCGC
rnacentral:rRNA from 1 species